rnacentral:miRNA from 1 species
CGGCACUCCAGAUGUUCUGGACUACACCUUCCAUGAUGCUUUGCAGCAUUACAGGUGUAAGAGCAUUAUGGGGGAUGUAGUCCAAAACAUCUGGAGUGCCG